UCUGGGAUAUAGGAGUCACAGGAACAUGGCAUUUUAUCUUGCAAGUUCUCAAAUCAGUUGUAAAUAUUACCUCAAGUACUCACAAUCUUCAAGACAGCAUAAAAAGUUACCCAGAAAUACCAUCUACUUUGCAAUGCACAACAACUUGCAUUAUUAUGAUGUUCAGAUGCCCACCACUGCAAACAGAAAUAGUAACUGUGUGCUAACAACUGUCUGCAUAGGUGGGUAUGUGUAGGCUUGUAUUUAACUACAUUACUUCAGUACAUACACGAAAAAUAGUGUGAGAAAAGGUACUUCACCUGAUACUUUUAAGCAUAUUACACCUUCCCUCCGCUUUUCAAAUGCCUCCACUAAUUUCUAUUCUGCUUCCUCAUCAAGAUUUGCGCAUCUCUAACGAUCUCUGACCUUUUCAGGUUUCAUAGUUGUCUGCCCUUAGAAAUUAUAGAAAAACAACGUGAUAAGACUAUAUGCUAAAGCCUGUUUGACUGGUUUCCUGUAUCCACAUUUGCUUCUCUGAUCCCUGAAAUUACCCUUGAAGCAGUUACUGGUGCCAAUUUCCUACAUGUUUAACAAAAGCUCCUUUUGUACUCCUACUGAUGAUACACUUCAUAUUCUCUCUCAUCAUCUGUUUGGACUGGUCAACUCUUGUGCAUUCUGCGUUUAAUUUUACAAAACACUGUAUCAACACGGAAAUUGUCCUGAAUAUCAUCUUCCUUGUAACUUAAGGUUCAGCCUUGAGAAGAGAGUUUAGCUUUUUAAAGCUACACACAAAUACAAGUAAAAUAUAUGAAGGAAGACAACAUACCUUCAUAGCCUAGCUUAAAGCAAUGACUAUUUCCAGGCUUUAAUAUUCAUGAAACUCUUUCCACUGAACUUUGUCAUGCUAAAGAGACAACUAGUCAACAGAGCAAAAGAAAAUUUUCAUGUGGAAAUUACUAACAGACACAAAAAAUGUGUAAUACAAUCAUGUCAGAAAAAUGAGAUAAAGUGUCCUCUGAGAGCAAGAGGGAGAGUAAGAAUGUAAAAUUUGAAGAAACAUUUUCCCAGUCUGUCUUUAGAAUGACACUUAAGGAAUAAGUACGUGUCUGGCUUUUUGAAAUCCUUACAUCCACAACCUCAGGGUUUCCAUAACAUGCAUACAAUAACUCCAUUCAUUUUGCAGAGCUAAAUAACAUCAGCUUUGUUUGCUGUUGCUAGCAAGCAUUGUAAGAGUUAGCCUUUCAAAACCUUCACCCUGCACCCCGUUUAAUUUUAGAUGAGGUUUGAGAUGUAUAAAACGGAAGACAAAGAAAAUGUUUGAGUUGGGUUUCUUGGGAGCUUGCUUCUGUUUAACACAAAAAUAACAUAUCGAAGUCUAGCAAAGCUAUCUCAGUUUUACAUUUUAGCAAUGCAAGUUCUAGACUCCUGUUGGGACAGACAGUUCCACCACAAUAUUUAGAGGCUAAACACACCUGCCUUUAAGGAUUUAUCUCCUGCUUUGCUUCACAGUAAUGUUUUGCCAAGUGUUUGUGCCAUGCAACACUGGCACAUACUUUUGAGUAUUUCUAGUCUUGCUCUCUACAGACUUCCAUUUUCAUUCAAAAACCCAAGGACAGGGGACCCAAAAGCCCCCUGUGUGUUGCUUAUCAACACACACAGUGGAAGGUUAUUACACCAAAAAACUUACUGGCUACAGAAAGAUGUAGGUGUUUAAGUAUCUAUCUAUAAAGCACAAGUGGACACACAAAUGCCAGCUGGAUGUUGGAUUAUCAAUUAACAAGAGAUGAGAACAAACUUCCACUGAGAUACCAGGUCUUCCGAAAAAGUCUUUCCUGGCCUUGAAAAUUUGAGGUCCUAAGAGCUGUAUACUUCAGCCUUAAAAGUCAAGCAUUUUUCCAUGAAUUUCUGGCCUCCUGCAUUUAAAAAUAAUCUUGUGCCAUGUGAAUUUAUGUUCCAGCUAAGGCUAUACAUCAACUUGGGCUACAAAGUAACUGUUUCAAUUAAGACAGACAAACUUUACUAUCUCACUGGACAACUUUAAACUUAUUGCAUUUUACCUAAAACAUACCACUGGCAUUGAAACAGACCCUUCAAUAGAGACUAGCAGCUGACAUUUUGACUGCAGUAACAACUAACAAAGCUUAUACUUCUAUCUAUUUAGUAUCUUUAUUCCAGAGAGGAGAUACCUAUCCUUAAACACCGCCUGUAACAGCUAUUUAGGAUCCCUCCAGCUUCUGGGCUUUUGAGCUAGGUAAUUUAUGAGGACCUUUAGAGUGAUAAAACGCAAAUAAAAGCUUUAAAACUGGAAAAGGAGGAAAAAAAGAUGCCUCACUUUUUUUCAAAAAAAUACUUUGUAGCCUGUCAUACCUGUUAAAACUGAUACUCAAAGCUUAUUAUUUUCUAUUAGCCUGAUGUUCAUAACAUAAGGCAAGAAGUUCCAACAGCAUCAAAAGCAGCACUUCGGCAGUUAAGACUCUGCUAAAUUAUGAUACCUGGGUGGGUCACAUUACAUUCUUUUAUCAUUAAAAUACUCAGGAACAAUCCUUCCGCCAUAGUAUUAAAUUACCCUUUCAUUUACUGUGGAUGGAAGCUAUUACUCUUGCUUUAUCUGUUUAAAUAUGAUAGUAGGUUUGUUUGAGGCAGAUAAUUUUCAAGUCAGGACAAGGGCAACACACUCUUUGUAGACUAAUACAGCUGAAUUGCUGAAUAAUCUAUUCAGUGCAGUUCUUAUUGGGGAAAGAUUUUAGAACGGCAGUGACAAAACAGGUUUCCUUUAUUUUAUUUUUAUUUUCCUUCACAAAAAUUAGAUACCCUUAACAUACAAUUACAAUAAAAUACUACUUUUACUUGAAUCUGAAGGAAAGACAUGAAAUAGCGCAUUAAGGCAACUUGCAAAUUUUGGGUUGUAAUUCUGAGGUGACAAAAUUAGAGUUACACCUUUAUUUCUAAAGAUUGCACAAGGAUAAGCAUAGGUUAGUUUUAGGCUAACCAAAGUAACUAUGCCUUCUUGCACUGCAAUUGCACUUCUAUUUCUUUACUCUUAAAAACAGGAACUCAGGCACGCCACAAAAGAUCUAAAUCCUGCGUUUUUGAAGGCUGACAAGUAGAAAUGAAACCACAGGAGGAGAACAGAGGAAGUGGCUCAUUUACACACUCCGACUUCUACUGCAGAACAGAAAACAUACACUAAGUUUAUAGCCAGGACACUCUGAAGUGUGAAGAAGUCUACAUGCAAGCAGGCACCCUGCCAUUAACAGCUAUAGCCAUUAGUCACCAUGAUUUAUCCAGUGAUCUAUCCGAAGACAAACUCAGUAUGAGCAGAAGACAAUGCUUCAUCCAAAACUGUAGAUCAGGCUCCUGCCAGAAUCAGCUGCCAGCUUGAGCCAACCACUUCCUCUUCAAAAAGUCCUGAAUGGACCAUCUGAAUACAGCCUAAAGCAUGGUUAAGAAACACUUAGAAAAGCUCAGUGUUUUCAGACAACUGCCACCCAUCAGCAAGAGGGCUGCUGAAGUGGAACACGUGGCAGCAACUAGCCACGUUUCAGCUUCCAUCUGGAGCGCUCCUGCACAUGGAGCUGCACGAGAACCUCCACACAUCUGCGGUUGAUCUUGACUGGCCAGCUGCAAACAAGUUCUGUGAAGACUGAUCACAUGAGAGGAGACAACCAAACAGUAUGCUGAGGACAGCAUUACAAACAUCUGGUAUUUACAUGUGCUGCUCUUACCAAUCUUGAAGAGUUCCUGCAAGAACAGUGGCUGCAAAGCCUAGCUCAGCUCUACUGCCUAUUGGAAGACAAUUGACUUUGGCGGUUAUUCUCAGUGAAGUACUGUCAUCUGACUGUCAGUGCAUUUUCACACAUCAAUUACAAAAGCAACUGGCAGAACCAGUUCUGCUCAAGCAGGAUUCCUAAACAUAAUCAAUAAAAAAACCUAAUCAUACAAGCCUCCAUUGUAAAUGCAUUUCCAGCUUCUCAGACAAGAUGAGUUGUUCUGACAGCUUUCAAGCUUUAAAACAUUUACCUGGAUGAAACAUGUACAAAAGCUCCUGGUGACCAUGCAAAGCAAUCCAACCUUAGCAUAAGCCACUAUUAAGUCUUCAUCAGAAGACUAAUAUUAAUGUAUACUGAGAGCAUUAGAAGUAGGACAAACAACAACUUAGCUGCAGAGAUUUUAACUCCCACAUUAUUAAAAUAAACUAUGAUGCUAUGUUGGAUAUACAACAGUUAAACAAGUGCGUGCUGUCAGAGGAGUUUUUACAGGACCUGAGAAAAGGCUUAUGUGCUCAAAAGCCUGUCUGACCAUUCUUUUGGUCGGGGGGGG